rnacentral:ncRNA from 1 species
UCUUGCGCGCUGCCGAGUGCGCAAAAGCGUUUUUUCUGUAUCAUCAGGCCUUAGCAGAUACAGAAAAGGCGCUAUUUUUGUU